UACGAAGGGGGCUAGCGUUGUUCGGAUUUACUGGGCGUAAAGCGCACGUAGGCGGAUUCUUAAGUCAGGGGUGAAAUCCCGAGGCUCAACCUCGGAACUGCCUCUGAUACUGGGGAUCUCGAGUUCGGGAGAGGUGAGUGGAAUUGCGAGUGUAGAGGUGAAAUUCGUAGAUAUUCGCAAGAACACCAGUGGCGAAGGCGGCUCACUGGCCCGAUACUGACGCUGAGGUGCGAAAGCGUGGGGAGCAAACAGG
rnacentral:rRNA from 1 species